AUGAUGGUUGGAUCAUAUGCUAUGAAUAUGUUUUGUUUUGUAAGAAACUGCCAAGCUGUCUUUCAAAGGGUGCUGCUUUGCAUUCCCACCAGCAAUGUAUGAGUGUUGUUGUUACGCCACAUGCUCUCCAGCUUUUGGUGUUAUCAGUGUUUUGAAUUUUAACCAUUCUAAGAGAUUUGUAGUUGUAUUUCAUUGUUGUUUUAAUCUGCAUUUCCCUGAUGACAUAUGGAGCAUUUUUUCACAGAUGCUUAUUUAGCAUCUGUUUACCAUUUUUGGUGAGAUGUCCUUAAGGUCAUCGGCCACUUAAAUUGAUUUUAAGAUAUAUCCAAUCUUUUCAUUAAAAAAAUUUUUUAGUGGAAAUGUAAAAUUCUAAACAUGAAUGCCUUUUUGCCAUUAAAUAUAAUAUUAGCCAAUUGGAUGUACUUUAUGGCUAUUUUAAAUGCAUUCUAAUAUAGUUAGUAGAAAGAUACUUACAUAUUUUAAUUUUUAUUAAUUUUGAAAAUAUCUACUUUCAGCUACAAAAAUUAUUAUAGUUCACAAUUAAACAAUAUAGUUUUAGGUGCUAAAAAUAUGAAUGUUGUACAUAAGCCUGAGGAUUUUGGAAUUUUGUGCACCUUAAUGUAUGAAUUAUAUGAUGAUAUUUUGGCCAGGUUUCUUCUGGCAGUUAAAAGCAUGUUAUUAGAAAGAAAGAGGGAGGUGGGGAGUAAAAGUAGAUUUUGUAUUUCUCUUUGUUGCUAAAAUAUAAAGAGCUAACAAGUAUUUUAUGAAAGUAUAUAAAUAAUAGGAUAUCUGAUAUCCAAUGUGCCUUAAUAUAGAUUGUCUACAAAAGAGAAUAGCUUGCUGGUGAGUGAAAGUAUAGUUUUUAAAUAUGUCACAAUAAAUUGUUAAUAGGCAAUAUUAAUUUCUCUUAGUAACUUACAUAGAAUUGGUCAUUUUAAUUCAUAGUAACUAUAGCAUUUGCUAUCUAAUCAAUAUUUAAACUUUAUUUUAACAUAAAUGAUGUUUGGUGAUCUAAUCUAGCUUUGUCUCUAUUUGAAAAAUACUGAAUAACUUGUGUAACUAGUAGAGUCAGAUUUUUCCUCUUAAUAGUGGUGCAUUCAUACUUUCUAGAAAGUGAAAAAGAAAUGUAAAAUUAUUUGGAAGAUUCAGAUGCUGUUUUGAGAAAAAAAAAUUACUUCCUGGAUAUUAGGUAGUUCAUUAGCAGAUCUCAGUAACCUAGAAGCAAACUCAAGGAUGAUAGAUACCUGUUGGGAUUUUGGCAGAGGUAUGGGAGGAAAAGCCAAGGACUGCAAGGAAAGAUACUGAUGAGAUUAUUUGAAAUAAUAGCUUUGCUUAUAAAAGAAAUAAAUGGCUCCUACCCUCAAGAAGCUUACCAUUUAGAAGAAUAGACAAGCAAAUGUGUGUACAACAAGUAAAAUGAUGUUCAAGAUAUAUGAUUGACUGGGUGAGGAAGCAGCAAAAGGAAGACAAUACUUCACUGGAAACUAGGUGGGCAAGCUGGAUUUAAUCUGUUUGGUUUGAUAUAUUUAUACAAAUACAGAUUGUCAAUUGUACAAUCUGACAAAUACAAUUUGUCAAUACAGAUUGACAAAUAAAGAUUGUCAAAAUCUUAACGAGUACUGUGACUUGUAAUUCUUCAGUAACCACCACAAAACCUCAUUCUUUGAGGAUGUGAUUUCUGAUGCUGAAUAUGUAUUGGUCCCUUGUCAGGAUAUAAUGACUCUUCACAGAGCUGUAAUCAUGGACUAACUAUUUCCCCUUAUUUAUUGAUUAACAAGAUUUUUUUUUUUUACAAGUGAUACUGUUACUAACUAAAUAGAUUUCCGACGAUGUAAAUGGUUGUGUAUUCCCAGAAAAAAUAAUGAAAAAACCUAUUGCAGCUGCAAUCUACUUAUCUUCCUAAAGAAACCCAUGCAUGACAACGUUAGUUUAAGAUUAAGACUAUCAAUGUGUGAUUUAAUACAAAUAUCUCAGGAAUUUUAGUGAUUUUAGGAGUCUAUUAUUAUCUUUGAAAAGAACAUGAUGACUCUAUGAAAAGACAAAAAAAGCACCUUGAUUUAGUAAACAUGUUCUGGGACAGCUUCUAGGUUGUGCGGUACUGCUGGGUGAUGAGCUUGAUAAAGAAGCUGGUUUGUGUUGGGAGUACAAUCUAUACCACUGGCAGUAUGGAUUGGAGAAGCUAGAGAUCUGAAGAGGAACUGGAUGCAUGUUGGGUUGCACAGAGCAGCAUUUUUUUUUUUUUUUGAAUUUAAUGUGGGAGCUAUUCAACAUUGAAAAGUUGUAGUUUAAAAUAUUUUUAAGCCAAGAAAUGAGCUUCAAUAAAUUCUUUAAGAUUUGAUUGAAAAAUCAAGCAUAUCUAUCUAUAUCUAUAUCUAUAUCUAUAUCUAUAUCUAUAUCUAUAUAUCUAUAUCUAUCUCUCUUUUCAUCAGAAGACUGAAACUUGAACUUACAGAAGUACACUUAAAUAUGCAAGGAUUCAUAGAAACAUUCAAUACCUUGAAACAUGUGAUAGCUUAAAAGAAAUAUGUAAAAAAAUUCUAUAUAAUUAAGUUCAAACUUUAAAAACGCUGACAAUGGAAUCUCUGGUUAAUGUCUGGUACCAGAAAUUCUUCACUGAAGAAGCAAAGCUAGAGGAAGGUAAUUAAUCUUCAAGAGGGAAAGUGUUAUAAUAGCAAUUGUCCUUUUUGAGACAUAUAAUUGAAUUUUGAGAAUCAUAGAAUCAUAGAAUCAUCUACUUUUAAAGGUGAAAACAAAGAACGUGUGAAUUUAUGACAUUUCCUUAGCAUAAUUUUAUUUUUUUAAAGAAGAGUCUCAAACUAUUAAUCUAGGUGAGAAAUCUAUAAUAACUGAUCAAAAUCUGUCUUGAGGCAAGCUGACUAAAUAGCUUAUGAUCCCACAGUUAGUGACAAGGAGUUUUAAUGGUUUUUAUCAACAGCGACUUCAUGAGUAUAUUCUUUUCACAUUCAUUUCCUUUUGAUGUUGCCACCUUAAAAUAUUUUUUUUUUGAUGAAUUAUACAAAGUUUACAGCAUUACUUUGAGUCACAGGGCUCGUAUGCCCUUCAGUGAUAAAUUUACAACGAAAGUCCUUCUCUCCCAGGAGGAAUGGGGGGAAGGAAGGUUUCAUUCACUAUUCAGCACAGUACCCAGGGCAAGGAACUAUUAUGUGCGAUAGAUUUACAUUGCUAAAUAAAAUAGAAAGUUUUCUUGCAGUUUGGUGUUUUCCAUCUAUUGAAUAAACAAUGGUCAGGAAUAAGACAGGGAUGUCCAUUCUCGCCACUGUUAUUCAACACAGUGUUGGAAGUCCUAGCCACAGCAAUCAGACAACAUAAAGAAAUAAAAGGUAUACAAACUGGCAAGAAAGACGUCAAACUUUAUUUGCAGAUUACAUGAUACUGUAUACAGAAAACCCCAAAGACCCCACCCAAAAAAUUAAUCUUUUUUUUUUUUUUUUUUUAACAAAUAGUGCUGUGUCUGUGAAUGAACAGUGUUCAGGAUGUAGAACAGCAGGAGACUUAUUUAGAGAGGAUGUUAUUGGAGGGCCUUCUUGGGAAGGUGACUUAAGCUGAGAUCUGGAAGAUCUGAUGGAGAAAUCACUAGGUGAAAACAACUGCAUAUGGCUUAAAUGAAUCCGUAUAAGGAAGAGGAAUGACAUUGUCUACAGUGCCACCCUUGCAGAUCAGUCAGUUAAGAACCAUGACACAUAGUUAUUAGGUUUGAUAACAAAAAGUUACCAAGUUGUUUUGGCAAAAGCAGUUUCCAAUGAGUAGAAGAGAACAAAAUUCAGAUUUCUCAGAAUUGAGUAAUGAAUGAAGGUUGAUAGUAGGGAAAGGAAAGCCAUGAACACAGCAAAUACCAAAAACAAUUUAUUUAGCCAAUUUCAUGUUGUUGGAUGAUUGAAAUACUUGACAACCCCAAUUGUAAGUUAAUAACAAUAUUACAUUGUAAAUUAUUAUAAGGGAGUAUUACACAACCAUUAAAAGUGAUGAGUUUUGGGAUGAGCACUGGGUGUUGUAUGGAAACCAAUUUGACAAUAAAUUUCAUAUAUUGAA